GAUGAGUUGCGAACGGGUGAGUAACGCGUAGGUAACCUACCUCAUAGCGGGGGAUAACUAUUGGAAACGAUAGCUAAUACCGCAUGACAAUUAAGUACUCAUGUACUAAAUUUAAAAGGAGCAAUUGCUUCACUAUGAGAUGGACCUGCGUUGUAUUAGCUAGUUGGUGAGGUAACGGCUCACCAAGGCCACGAUACAUAGCCGACCUGAGAGGGUGAUCGGCCACACUGGGACUGAGACACGGCCCAGACUCCUACGGGAGGCAGCAGUAGGGAAUCUUCGGCAAUGGGGGCAACCCUGACCGAGCAACGCCGCGUGAGUGAAGAAGGUUUUCGGAUCGUAAAGCUCUGUUGUUAGAGAAGAACGGUAAUGGGAGUGGAAAAUCCAUUACGUGACGGUAACUAACCAGAAAGGGACGGCUAACUACGUGCCAGCAGCCGCGGUAAUACGUAGGUCUCGAGCGUUGUCCGGAUUUAUUGGGCGUAAAGCGAGCGCAGGCGGUUAUUUAAGUCUGAAGUUAAAGGCCGUGGCUCAACCAUGGUUCGCUUUGGAAACUGGAUAACUUGAGUGCAGAAGGGGAGAGUGGAAUUCCAUGUGUAGCGGUGAAAUGCGUAGAUAUAUGGAGGAACACCGGUGGCGAAAGCGGCUCUCUGGUCUGUAACUGACGCUGAGGCUCGAAAGCGUGGGGAGCAAACAGGAUUAGAUACCCUGGUAGUCCACGCCGUAAACGAUGAGUGCUAGGUGUUAGGCACUUUCCGGGGCUUAGUGCCGCAGCUAACGCAUUAAGCACUCCGCCUGGGGAGUACGACCGCAAGGUUGAAACUCAAAGGAAUUGACAGGGGGCCCGCACAAGCGGUGGAGCAUGUGGUUUAAUUCGAAGCAACGCGAAGAACCUUACCAGGUCUUGACGUCCCUCUGACCGUCCUAGAGAUAGGACUUUCCUUCGGGACAGAGGUGACAAGUGGUGCACGGUUGUCGUCAGCUC
rnacentral:rRNA from 1 species